rnacentral:rRNA from 1 species
UACGGGGGGGGCAAGCGUUGUUCGGAAUUACUGGGCGUAAAGGGUUCGUAGGUGGCCAACUAAGUCAGACGUGAAAUCCCUCAGCUUAACUGGGGAACUGCGUCUGAUACUGGUUGGCUUGAGUGCAGGAGAGGAACGCGGAAUUCCAGGUGUAGCGGUGAAAUGCGUAGAGAUCCGGAAGAACACCGGUGGCGAAGGCGGCCUGCUGGGCAGUUUAGCUGACACUGAGGCGCGACAGCGUGGGGAGCAAACAGG